AGCACCACAAAUGAAGAAAGAAUAGGAACGCACACUGAGCGUGCGUUUUGGGGUAUUUAAACUGAGUGUUGUUAAUGGAGAGUUCUUAUGCUUUCUUUCAGGUGCUGUUGUCUACCGAGUAUAGAAUCAGCAGAACUGAAGUACUCUGCCUGGAAGCUUCUUGGUUAACGCUUGGUGUUCGUUCCAAGAAAGGCAGUUCAGUCCCGAUUUUCCUAAUUGCAAAGACCUGGAACUAACAGACGCAGCAAAACUGUUGUCUCGGAAGCGUUACCUGUUUUUAAGUGAGGCAACUUCUAGUUUAAUGAUCGUCCAAACUUGAACUCCCCCAUGCAUUUAUGUGGAAACGGAGAAUGAAACGUUACCAGCACCCCCAAUUUCCGGGAAAUUACUAAACGAGCACAAGAACAGUGAUAUCAGUAAAAUAAUUUUGCAAUAUACGUUGAAAGAGGAUGACUGCUGCUACAUUUAAAUGUGUAUGAUUAAGCCCUUUACAAUAUAAAUUAAAAACUAUAUUUUGUUGUGUG